UAAAAAGGGUUAGCAAAUUUUUGAGAAAAAAAUUAAAAAAAGAAAAUACAAGAGAAAUAAAAGAUAAUUUUGAAGGUGACGGCUUGUUGUUCUUUUCUUCUGUUCUUUUACCAUUUUCAUUUUACUUUUGUUUUUCUUUUGCUUUCUAAAAUAAAAGGGAUUAAAGAAGGGGAGUAAAGCUUACCAGCGUGGUGUUGUUGGAUCCCUUUGUUUCAUUACAAUCGAAACAGGGGAAGAGUUUUGGGGGAGGAGAUACGGCACAAUGACAAAGAAAGAAAAAU
rnacentral:lncRNA from 1 species